UCAGGACUCCUCAGUUCUUCUCACAAUGAGGCUCCCUGCUCAGCUCCUGGGGCUGCUAAUGCUCUGGGUCCCUGGAUCCAGUGGGGAUAUUGUGAUGACCCAGACUCCACUCUCCCUGUCCAUCACCCCUGGAGAGCCAGCCUCCAUCUCCUGCAGGUCUAGUCAGAGCCUCCUGCAUAGUGAUGGAAACACCUAUUUGUAUUGGUACCUGCAGAAGCCAGGACAGUCUCCACAGCUCCUGAUAUAUUGGGCUUCCAACCGUUUUUCUGGGGUCCCAGACAGGUUCAGUGGCAGUGGGUCAGGCACUGAUUUCACACUGAAAAUCAGCAAGGUAGAGGCUGAGGAUGUUGGAGUUUAUUACUGCAUGCAAGCUAUACAAUAUCCUCCCACAGUGCUACAUCCUCGAACAAAUACCUCCCAGCCUGGCUGGUCCAGCUGCCCACAAGUUCUGCUUGUCUGGGGAGGAGCUGAGCAGUGUCUCUGA